GGCUUAUUGUUUAUUUAUAUUAAGUCUUACCUGCUCAAUGAUAUUUAAUAUAUUAAAUAGCCGCAGUAUAUUGACUGUGCAAAGGUAGCAUAAUCAUUUGUCUUUUAAUUGGGGACUUGUAUGAAUGGUUUCAUGAGAUAUUGACUUUCUUUAUAUAAAAUCAAAUAAAUUAAUUUUUUAGUUAAAAAGCUAAAAUAUUUUUAAGGGACGAGAAGACCCUAUAGAAUUUUAUACUUUUAUAUUUAUCUUAUUUUUGGUUGUUUCUACAUUUUAUUUUUAAAAGUAUUUUGUUGGGGUGACAGGGAAAUUUAUUUAACUUUCUUUAUAUAUAUAUUAUUGAUGUAUAUAUUUAUGAUCCUAUUUUAUGGAUUUUAAGAUUAAAUUACCUUAGGGAUAACAGCGUAAUAUCUUUGGAGAGUUCUUAUCGAUAAAGAAGUUUGCGACCUCGAUGUUGGAUUAAAAUUAGUAUUGGGUGUAGGUGCUUGAUUUACUAGGUCUGUUCGACCUUUAAAAUUUUACA
rnacentral:rRNA from 1 species